UGCCAAUGAUGAGGAAAAUGUAUUGUUAAUGUAUGAAUAAUCAUGAUUACAACCGUACUACUGCCUUCCUUCUGAGGUU